rnacentral:rRNA from 1 species
AGAAUCAACGCUAGCGGCGUGCCUAACACAUGCAAGUCGCACGAGAAAGGGGAGCAAUCCCUGAGUACAGUGGCGCACGGGUGAGUAACACGUGAAUCAUCUACCUCCGAGUGGGGAAUAACUGAGAGAAAUCUUAGCUAAUACCGCAUAAUACCCACGGGUCAAGGCAGUAAUGCGCUUGGAGAGGAGUUCGCGGCAGAUUAGUUAGUUGGCGGGGUAAUGGCCCACCAAGACGAUGAUCUGUAUCCGGCCUGAGAGGGCGCACGGACACACUGGAACUGAAACACGGUCCAGACUCCUACGGGAGGCAGCAGUGGGGAAUUUUGCGCAAUGGGGGAAACCCUGACGCAGCAACGCCGCGUGGAGGAUGAAGCCCCUUGGGUCGUAAACUCCUUUCGAUCGGGAAGAUAAUGACGGUACCGAUAUAAGAACGCCCGGCUAACUUCGCGCCAGCAGCCGC